CAUCCGCGUGAGUGAAGAAGGCCUUCGGGUUGUAAAGCUCUUUCGCAAGAGAAGAAACGAUACAGUCUAAUAAACUGUGUUAAUGACGGUACCUUGAUAAGAAGCACCGGCUAACUACGUGCCAGCAGCCGCGGUAAUACGUAGGGUGCGAGCGUUAAUCGGAAUUACUGGGCGUAAAGCGUGCGCAGGCGGUUUUGAAAGUCAGAUGUGAAAUCCCCGGGCUCAACCUGGGAACUGCGUUUGAAACUCCAAAGCUAGAGUAUGGGAGAGGGGGGUAGAAUUCCACGUGUAGCAGUGAAAUGCGUAGAGAUGUGGAGGAAUACCAAUGGCGAAGGCAGCCCCCUGGCUUAAUACUGACGCUCAUGCACGAAAGCGUGGGGAGCAAACAGGCUUAGAUACCCUGGUAGUCCACGCCCUAAACGAUGUCUACUAGUUGUUGGGAGAGUAAAAUCUCUUAGUAACGCAGCUAACGCGUGAAGUAGACCGCCUGGGGAGUACGGUCGCAAGAUUAAAACUCAAAGGAAUUGACGGGGGCCCGCACAAGCGGUGGAUUAUGUGGAUUAAUUCGAUGCAACGCGAAAAACCUUACCUGGCCUUGACAUGUAGCGAACUUAGCAGAGAUGCUUU
rnacentral:rRNA from 1 species